rnacentral:rRNA from 1 species
UACGUAGGGGGCAAGCGUUGUCCGGAUUUACUGGGCGUAAAGAGCGCGUAGGCGGAAGCUUAAGUGUGGCCUGAAAGCCCCCGGCUCAACCGGGGAGGGUGGCUGCAAACUGGGCUUCUUGAGGGCGGCAGAGGAGAGUGGAAUUCCUGGUGUAGCGGUGAAAUACGUAGAGAUUGGGAAGAACACCAGUGGCGAAGGCGGCUAUCUGGACGGUUUCUGACGCUAAGACGCGAAAGCGUGGGGAGCAAACAGG